rnacentral:pre_miRNA from 14 species
AGCUGCCGUCUGUUGGGCCGGGGGCAGGGCCUUUGUGAAGGCGGGUUGUGCUCGGAUCGCCUCUGGGCCCUUCCUCCAGCCCCGAGACGGAUUCA